rnacentral:rRNA from 1 species
CCUACGGGGCGCAGCAGUGGGGAAUAUUGGACAAUGGGCGAAAGCCUGAUCCAGCCAUGCCGCGUGUGUGAAGAAGGCCUUCGGGUUGUAAAUCACUUUCAGUGGGGAAGAAAGCCUUGGGGCUAAUACCCUCGAGGAAGGACAUCACCCACAGAAGAAGCACCGGCUAACUCCGUGCCAGCAGCCGCGGUAAUACGGAGGGUGCGAGCGUUAAUCGGAAUUACUGGGCGUAAAGCGCGCGUAGGCGGUCUGAUAAGCCGGUUGUGAAAGCCCCGGGCUCAACCUGGGAACGGCAUCCGGAACUGUCAGGCUAGAGUGCAGGAGAGGAAGGUAGAAUUCCCGGUGUAGCGGUGAAAUGCGUAGAGAUCGGGAGGAAUACCAGUGGCGAAGGCGGCCUUCUGGACUGACACUGACGCUGAGGUGCGAAAGCGUGGGUAGCAAACAGGAUUAGACACCCCUGUAGUC